rnacentral:rRNA from 1 species
UACAGAGGUCUCAAGCGUUGUUCGGAUUCAUUGGGCGUAAAGGGUGCGUAGGUGGCGCGCUAAGUCAGGUGUGAAAUUUCGGGGCUUAACUCCGAAACUGCAUUUGAUACUGGCGUGCUUGAGGACUGGAGAGGAGACUGGAAUUCAUGGUGUAGCAGUGAAAUGCGUAGAGAUCAUGAGGAAGACCAGUGGCGAAGGCGGGUCUCUGGACAGUUCCUGACACUGAGGCACGAAGGCCAGGGGAGCAAACGGG